CGUAAACGUUGGGCGCUAGAUGUAGGGACCUUUCCACGGUUUCUGUGUCGUAGCUAACGCAUUAAGCGCCCCGCCUGGGGAGUACGGCCGCAAGGCUAAAACUCAAAGGAAUUGACGGGGGCCCGCACAAGCGGCGGAGCAUGCGGAUUAAUUCGAUGCAACGCGAAGAACCUUACCAAGGCUUGACAUACACCGGAAACGGCCAGAGAUGGUCGCCCCCUUGUGGUCGGUGUACAGGUGGUGCAUGGUUGUCGUCAGCUCGUGUCGUGAGAUGUUGGGUUAAGUCCCGCAACGAGCGCAACCCUCGUUCUAUGUUGCCAGCGGGUUAUGCCGGGGACUCAUAGGAGACUGCCGGGGUCAACUCGGAGGAAGGUGGGGAUGACGUCAAAUCAUCAUGCCCCUUAUGUCUUGGGCUUCACGCAUGCUACAAUGGCCGGUACAAAGGGCUGCGAUACCGUAAGGUGGAGCGAAUCCCAAAAAGCCGGUCUCAGUUCGGAUUGAGGUCUGCAACUCGACCUCAUGAAGUCGGAGUCGCUAGUAAUCGCAGAUCAGCAACGCUGCGGUGAAUACGUUCCCGGGCCUUGUACACACCGCCCGUCAAGUCAUGAAAGUCGGUAACACCCGAAGCCGGUGGCCUAACCCUUGKGAAGAGCCGUCGAAU
rnacentral:rRNA from 1 species